AUUGAACGCUGACGGCAGGCCUAACACAUGCAAGUCGAACGAGUGGCGGACGGGUGAGUAAUGGCUGGGAAAAUGCCCGAUGGAGGGGGAUAACUACUGGAAACGGUAGCUAAUACCGCAUACCAUCGGAUGUGCCCAGAUGGGAUUAGCUAGUAGGUGGGGUAACGGCUCACCUAGGCGACGAUCCCUAGCUGGUCUGAGAGGAUUACCAGCCACCCUGGAACUUAGACACGGUCCAGACGCCUACGGUAGGCAGCAGUGGUGAAUAUUGCACCAUGGGCGCAAGCCUGAUGCAGCCAUGCCGCGUGUAUGAAGAAGGCCUUCGGGUUGUAAAGUACUUUCAGCGAGGAGGCGUUACUCGCAGAAGAAGCACCGGCUAACUCCGUGCCAGCCGCCGCGGUAAUAC
rnacentral:rRNA from 1 species